rnacentral:rRNA from 1 species
CCUACGGGAGGCAGCAGUGAGGAAUAUUGGUCAAUGGACGCGAGUCUGAACCAGCCAAGUAGCGUGCAGGAUGACUGCCCUAUGGGUUGUAAACUUCUUUUAUAAAGGAAUAAAACGAGGCACGUGUGCCUUUUUUCAUGUAUUUUAUGAAUAAGGAGCGGCUAAAUCCGUGCCAGCAGCCGCGGUAAUACGGAGGAUCCGAGCGUUAUCCGGAUUUAUUGGGUUUAAAGGGAGCGUAGAUGGGUUGUUAAGUCAGUUGUGAAAGUUUGCGGCUCAACCGUGAAAUUGCAGUUGAUACUGGCGGUCUUGAGUACAGUUGAGGUAGGCGGAAUUCGUGGUGUAGCGGUGAAAUGCUUAGAUAUCACGAAGAACCCCGAUUGCGAAGGCAGCUUACUAGGCUGUGACUGACGUUGAGGCUCGAAAGUGUGGGUAUCAAACAGGAUUAGAUACCCUGGUAGUC